UUGAAGAACCAAAAGAGUUCACACUUGAGCUAUUCUUUGUGGCUUAUUGCACUGAAGAACAACGAGAUUGUCGGCUUCGAGAUAAUAAGCAAGAAAAACGAGCUCGCAAAUAUCUCAAAGAUAUCAAAUGGAAUAAGGUUAAAGAACCAAAAAGAUUCACGGUUGAUCUUUUCUUUGAUCAGAACUCUUACUACCAGAACACUGUCUUCACCAAGACACAUCACAUGAUUGAUAAAUAUAAGCUUAUCUCGAGAAGGUCAUUGGGUCCAAUGUGAGAAAAAAA